AGAGUUUGAUCCUGGCUCAGGAUGAACGCUGACAGAAUGCUUAACACAUGCAAGUCUACUUGAACUUCGGUUUGGGUGGCGGACGGGUGAGUAACGCGUAAAGAACUUGCCUCACAGUUAGGGACAACAUUUGGAAACGAAUGCUAAUACCUGAUAUUAUGAUUUUAGGGCAUCCUAAGAUUAUGAAAGCUAUAUGCGCUGUGAGAGAGCUUUGCGUCCCAUUAGCUAGUUGGAGAGGUAACGGCUCACCAAGGCGAUGAUGGGUAGCCGGCCUGAGAGGGUGAACGGCCACAAGGGGACUGAGACACGGCCCUUACUCCUACGGGAGGCAGCAGUGGGGAAUAUUGGACAAUGGACCAAAAGUCUGAUCCAGCAAUUCUGUGUGCACGAUGACGUUUUUCGGAAUGUAAAGUGCUUUCAGUUGGGAAGAAAAAAAUGACGGUACCAACAGAAGAAGUGACGGCUAAAUACGUGCCAGCAGCCGCGGUAAUACGUAUGUCACAAGCGUUAUCCGGAUUUAUUGGGCGUAAAGCGCGUCUAGGUGGUUAUGUAAGUCUGAUGUGAAAAUGCAGGGCUCAACUCUGUAUUGCGUUGGAAACUGCAUGACUAGAGUACUGGAGAGGUAAGCGGAACUACAAGUGUAGAGGUGAAAUUCGUAGAUAUUUGUAGGAAUGCCGAUGGGGAAGCCAGCUUACUGGACAGAUACUGACGCUAAAGCGCGAAAGCGUGGGUAGCAAACAGGAUUAGAUACCCUGGUAGUCCACGCCGUAAACGAUGAGUGCUAAGUGUUGGUCUCAUAAGAGAUCAGUGCUGCAGCUAACGCAUUAAGCACUCCGCCUGGGGAGUACGACCGCAAGGUUGAAACUCAAAGGAAUUGACGGGGACCCGCACAAGCGGUGGAGCAUGUGGUUUAAUUCGA
rnacentral:rRNA from 2 species